rnacentral:tRNA from 1 species
GCGGAUACAGCUCAGUGGUAGAGCUUACGCUUGGCACGCGUGGGGUCCUGGGUUCAAUCCCUACUACCUCCA